rnacentral:rRNA from 1 species
CCUACGGGGUGCAGCAGUCGAGAAUCAUUCACAAUGGGGGAAACCCUGAUGGUGCGACGCCGCGUGGGGGAAUGAAGGUCUUCGGAUUGUAAACCCCUGUCAUGUGGGAGCAAAUUAAAAAGAUAGUACCACAAGAGGAAGAGACGGCUAACUCUGUGCCAGCAGCCGCGGUAAUACAGAGGUCUCAAGCGUUGUUCGGAAUCACUGGGCGUAACGCGUGCGUAGGCUGUUUCGUAAGUCGUGUGUGAAAGGCGCGGGCUCAACCCGCGGACGGCACAUGAUACUGCGAGACUAGAGUAAUGGAGGGGGAACCGGAAUUCUCGGUGUAGCAGUGAAAUGCGUAGAUAUCGAGAGGAACACUCGUGGCGAAGGCGGGUUCCUGGACAUUAACUGACGCUGAGGCACGAAGGCCAGGGGAGCGAAAGGGAUUAGAUACCCUGGUAGUC